AACGGCAUGGGAGGGCCGGCCGCAGCGGGUGACAGCCCCGUACGCGAACCCAGACCGGACGGCGCGACGCGGUCCCUGAGUAGGGCCGGGCACGUGAAACCCGGUCCGAACCUGGGUGGACCACCAUCCAAGCCUGAGUACUACCCUGUGACCGAUAGCGCACCAGUACCGUGAGGGAAAGGUGAAAAGCACCCCGGGAGGGGAGUGAAACAGUACCUGAAACCGUGCGCCCACGAGCAGUCGGAGCACCUUUGUGGUGUGACGGCGUGCCUUUUGUAGAAUGAGCCAGCGAGUCGCUGGCGCGGGGCGAGGUUAACCGAAAGGGAGCCGGAGCGAAAGCGAGCCUUAACAGGGCGACUUGAGUCCCGCGCCGCGGACGCGAAGCCGGGUGAGCUAUCCGUGGGCAGGCUGAAGCGGGGGUAAGACCCCGUGGAGGGCCGAACGCACGUCGGUUGAAAACGGCGGCGAUGACCUGCGGAUAGGGGUGAAAGGCCAAUCAAACCCGGAGAUAUCUCGUUCUCCCCGAAAUAGCUUUAGGGCUAGCGUCGCGCGUUCACCGCCGGAGGUAGAGCACCGGAUGGACGAGGGGGCUUCGCCGCCUACCGAAUCCAACCGAACUCCGAAUGCCGGCGGCCCAGAGCGCGGCAGUCAGAGCAUGUGGGCUAAGCUGUGUGCUCGAGAGGGAAACAGCCCGGACCGCCCGCUAAGGUCCCCAAGUUCCAGCCGAGUGGCAAAGGAUGUGCGUCCGCCCAGACAACCAGGAUGUUGGCUUAGAAGCAGCCAUCCAUUCAAAGAGUGCGUAACAGCUCACUGGUCGAGUGGACAUGCGCCGACAAUACACGGGGCUAAGCUGGACACCGAAGCGGCGGGAUUUUAAUUCAUUAGAAUCGGUAGGGGAGCUUCCCAUGGGCGGAGAAGCCGGAGGGCGACCGACGGUGGAGCGCAUGGGAGUGAGAAUGCUGGCAUGAGUAGCGAGAGACGAGAGAGUAACUCGUCCGCCGUGAACCCGAGGUUUCCUGGGCAAGGCUAAUCCUCCCAGGGUCAGUCGGGGGCUAAGGCGAGGCCGGAAGGCGUAGCCGACGCGCAGCAGGCAGACAUUCCUGCACCGCGCACGCGGCGCUACGACCGACGGGGCGACGGAUGGGGGUGGCUCGGCGGGGUUCUGGACGUCCCCGUGAUGGAGCGCGGCCCGCGGACCAGGGAAAUCCGGUCCGCAUCAAGGGCGAGGCUCCGGACGAAGCGAUUGAGCGAAGCGAGUGAGCCCGAGGUCCCUAGAAAAACCCCUAGGCAGGCGCGUGCGCGCCCGUACCGCAAACCGACACAGGUGGGUGGGUAGAACAUACCGAGGCGAUCGGGUCAACCAUGGUCAAGGAACUCGGCACAAUGGCCCCGUAACUUCGGGAGAAGGGGUGCCCGCGCGUACGUGAACCGGCUCGCCCGGGGAGCGGAGGCGGGCCGCAGUGGAGAGGCCCAAGCGACUGUUUACCAAAAACACAGGACUCUGCAGAAGCCGCAAGGCGACGUAUAGGGUCUGACGCCUGCCCGGUGCCGGAAGGUCACGCGGAGGAGUUAGCCGUCAAGGCGAAGCCCCGAAGCCAAGCCCCGGUAAACGGCGGCCGUAACUAUAACGGUCCUAAGGUAGCGAAAUUCCUUGUCGGGUAAGUUCCGACCUGCACGAAUGGCGUAACGAUUUGGGCGCUGUCUCAACCAUGGACCCGGUGAAAUUGUAUUGGUCGUGAAGAUGCGACUUACCCGCGGAAGGACGGAAAGACCCCGUGAACCUUCACUGCAGCUUGGCAUUGGCCGCUGGUCCCGCGUGUAGAGGAUAGGCAGGAGGCAUCGAUCCGGAGGCGCCAGCCCCCGGGGAGCCGCCCUUGGAAUACUGCCCUCGCGCGACCGGCGUCCUAACCCGAGGCCGUCAACCGGCUCGGGGACCGUGCCAGGCGGGCAGUUUGACUGGGGCGGUCGCCUCCUAAAGGGUAACGGAGGCGCGCGAAGGUCCGCUCGGGACGGUCGGCAACCGUCCUUUUGAAUGCAAGAGUACAAGCGGGCUUGACUGCGAGGCCCACAAGCCGAGCAGGUGCGAAAGCAGGCUCUAGUGAUCCGGCGGCCCCGAGUGGGUGGGCCGUCGCUCAACGGAUAAAAGGUACUCCGGGGAUAACAGGCUGAUCUUGCCCAAGAGUCCACAUCGACGGCAAGGUUUGGCACCUCGAUGUCGGCUCAUCGCAUCCUGGGGCU
rnacentral:rRNA from 1 species